CACAAGGAGACAUGCUUGAGACAUAGUGUAGGAUGCAGGACUAUAAAAAAAAAUGGACCCAAUUAAGAACACGAUUACAGAAAGUGGUGCAUUUUGGUAGUGGACUUGGUCGUGUCAUAAUAAUUGCCCUUUUAAUACUGGUAGUUAUUUCUGGUAGGAAUUCUCGUUUAUUCUUCAACCGGACGAAAACCCGACUGCUCCUCCUGAAUCCGAGAUUCGACUAUCUGACGGACCCUCUUUUCCAGAACCCAGGAAUAGCCCCACCUCCAGGCCUGGCUCCAGAGUGGGGCCCCGGUGACCCACGUCCGGGUAUGGAUGGGUGACCGGAGAGCAGACGGCGCCGACCUGGUCUGUGUUAGGAAUCCAGUUUGUGUGGUCAGUUUGUGUGUUUUCUUUUUCUCCACCACCAGGAGGUGCCCUGUCUUCGUUUGGCAUCCCUGCAACCCUGCGGCUCAUUGGACCAUUAUCUGGAGGAGUAUUUGAGCAGUGGGCUGUCACUACCUCGACGCCAGAGUGUUUGCCAGUUUUGGGUACUCUAGCCAAGCUGAGAUUAGCUGAGUCUAACCUAAGCAUUGUUUCUCUGAGACCUACUGUUUAACUUGAUACCUGGACCUUCUCCCCCUGGAAGGAAAAGCCAAGUUCUCACUGAGCAGGGGAAAACCUCCAUAUGAUCCGUUCAAGUUCCCAUUGGAAAUCUUAGUGACAGUCCGCUCCGUUACUCCUCCGGGUCCAAUGUUUGUCUACCUGUUCACUAUUAUCUGGAUGAUCCCACACAGAUUGGAUUCAAGGACUGACAAGGCCCCCCCUUAAACUUCCGGUUCACCAGCUCACUGAGUUCCACAUCCAACCCUGUACCCGUACCUUAAUAAACCUGUUAAACUUUUCCCGUGUUCUUUGAGUGCUAUCUCUACAUGUGGGUCAGAUUCGUAAAACCGAUCAUGACUGUGUGCUUCAGAUUCGGACAACUCCUUAAUUUGCAUUUGAAAUCGGUGAAAGUAAUUUUAUCCUCACUUUGUGUAACGUGAAUGAUAAAUGGUUUGAAUGCAAAUAUGCACUAACGAGGCACUAAAAAAAGCACAACACUUUGGUUCAAUUUGGAGUUUAAUGGGGGGAAUGGUGACCUCUGGAUGACCUAAAAAAUAAUCUUUAAUAUCUCUUAAGCAAAAUUAACACA